rnacentral:lncRNA from 1 species
AGAGACGUAGGGGCUGUGUUGACCAGGCUGGUCUCGAACUCUUGGCCUCAAGCCAUCCUCCCACCUCAGCCUCCCAAAGUGCUGGGAUUACAGGCUUGAGCCACCACAUCCAGCCUACCUAAAAUAUUGAAUGCUGUUAAUAAAUCUCCUGAGGCCAGCAUAAGAAGUUGAUGGGCAAAACUAAUGCAGGGUUUCAAUUGUGCAAUUUCACCAUUAGCAAAGCUUUUUGCUGAAAUCUGGCUUUUCAAAGGGAGAGUAUCCAGAAACAGAAGAUGCUGAUCUGGGAGACUCUUCCUAAUAGAACUGCUGCUUCAGUUUAACUUGGAAAAGCCCACACCCAGUUCCUAAUGACAAACAUCUGAACACCGGGUCUUCCCACGAGCAAGACCAUGCUAUGCCUCCUGCUCAUUCUGUUCUAUAAGCAACCUACAGAUUGCUCCCUGUGAAGAGGAGCCUGCCAGGGGAGCAGCAUUCCACCAGACCCUGAUUUAGCAAGAUAUUUCCGUAUCAUUCCCCCAACCAGCUGGAAGUCCUCCACUGCUCUUGUGUGAAAAUCUAACUCAUCUCGCUGAAUUUCCUGAUUUAAAAGUCUAAUUCAUUUCACCAAAAGUGUGACAGAAGGAAACCAAGUACACCAUCUCUCCC